rnacentral:rRNA from 1 species
UACGUAGGGUGCGAGCGUUAAUCGGAAUUACUGGGCGUAAAGCGUGCGCAGGCGGUUCGCCAAGUCAGGUGUGAAAUCCCCGGGCUUAACCUGGGAAUUGCGCUUGAGACUGGCACGCUAGAGUUCGGGAGAGGAUGGUGGAAUUCCCAGUGUAGAGGUGAAAUUCGUAGAUAUUGGGAAGAACACCGGGUGGCGAAGGCAGCCCCCUGGGCCAACACUGACGCUCAGGCACGAAAGGCGUGGGGAGCAAACAGG